GAUGAACGCUGGCGGCGUGCCUAAUACAUGCAAGUCGAGCGAACAGAUGAGGAGCUUGCUCCUCUGACGUUAGCGGCGGACGGGUGAGUAACACGUGGAUAACCUACCUAUAAGACUGGGAUAACUUCGGGAAACCGGAGCUAAUACCGGAUAAUAUAUUGAACCGCAUGGUUCAAUAGUGAAAGACGGUUUUGCUGUCACUUAUAGAUGGAUCCGCGCCGCAUUAGCUAGUUGGUAAGGUAACGGCUUACCAAGGCAACGAUGCGUAGCCGACCUGAGAGGGUGAUCGGCCAGACUGGAACUGAGACACGGUCCAGACUCCGACGGGAGGCAGCAGUAGGGAAUCUUCCGCAAUGGGCGAAAGCUUGACGGAGCAACGCCGCGUGAGUGAUGAAGGUCUUCGGAUCGUAAAACUCUGUUAUUAGGGAAGAACAAAUGUGUAAGUAACUAUGCACGUCUUGACGGUACCUAAUCAGAAAGCCACGGCUAACUACGUG
rnacentral:rRNA from 1 species